UGAUGACUAGUGCCUUGAGGCCUGGCCACUAGAAUAAUAGGUCAUCAUAAAUUAAAAUUUCACUUUCUUCACUCAGAGAAAAUUGGGAUAAUGGGGUUAUCUGUUUAUUCUCUUAAUUUUGGGGAAUCAAACACUG
rnacentral:snoRNA from 1 species